rnacentral:lncRNA from 1 species
AAUCUUUCUGCACUCUUCAUUGGUUUACAGAUGAGCAAAAACUGAAGCCAAAGACUAAGCUUGCAAGGGAUAGUGGUCGAGUCAGCGCCCCGGCGCCCAAGAUGCAAGGGCUACAGCGCCCCGGCUUUGCACUCCAGAAUCUUCAAACCAGGCCCAGCACCCCAGCGCUCGAUUACACGGUAUGCAUAGCACCCCGACGCUAGAUCUAAUCACCGACCACUGACCUUCAGCGCCUCGGCGCUGAGACCUUCCACUAGACAUUGCAUUGCAGCGCCCCGGCGCUCCCAUCCAGUUCAAUUUCAGCGCCCGACGCUAGGUGCUAUAGCCAGACACUGACUUUCAGUGCCCCGGCGCUCGAUAUACACUUAUACUCAGCGCCCCGGCGCUGGGAGUUAAGUUAAGAGUCCUACGGUAGUUUAAGUCUAUUCAUUGUCCACGUUGAAAACUCUUCCCACGAUUACACUACUUCACAUAUUCUUCUGGUAACUGUUUCAUUCUUAAUAUAUUUUGUUUCACUGGGAUAAUCAAGUAGUCUCUAUUCCGCUUUGUUCACCUUCUCGUUCAACUCGAAUAGAUCUAAUACUGUUAUAGCAAAGGUGAGUUUGACUCUAAAUUGAUCUCUUCUACUGCUUGUUCCACCAUCAGGUUUUGGGUAUUUUAAUUAUAUCAUUAUGAUUACAUCAUAUGAUCUGAUUAGGCCUCUGUAUGCUAUUACUAUAAUUGAUGCCAUAGGUGCUCUACUAUAUGCCCAUAAGGUGUUUGUUAAAUUGCUUAAGUGACUGUCAUUGUGAAUUUCAUCCCUAACCAAGCUUACCAAUGACUUUCUUCAUACGCUUGAUUUUUCCUUCCUACAUGCAUGGUUAUAUUAGUAUAGCACGGACUUUUAGGCGGAUGUACAUGGUUAUUUUCCUGAAUGCACACACCUUUAUGGACAAUGUUUUAGCAAAAUUACACAUGCACCGCCUAGUAGAUUUUACAGGUAUGAUUUGUCUGAUAGUGAAGAUAAUACAUGUGUAUUUGUCGAAUAUAGCAGGCGUACUAGUAGAAUAUGUGCUGGAAAAACGAGGUUAAUCAGUCUCAAUGUUGUACUUUCUUGUUACUGCUUGCUCAACCCACCCCUAACCCCCAACCAUGUUACACAAAGUGCUUUUAUCUUAAAGUUUGGGGGUAAUGAUAUGGGUACGUUGUCCAUAUUAGAUUUCUGCCCAAUUUUAAUACAUAUGAAUGUGGAUUCCUUACAAAAUUUUCUAAAUGGCCUCGAAGCGUCAACUUGGAGAAGGUUCUGGGUCAGCCUCGGCUUCUCAAAAAUUUGACAGUCGUCGGUUCGUGAGUGUCGUAGCCCAAGAACGCUACAAUAGGAUGGCCACCCGCUCACUAAUCCCCGAACGCGGUUUAAGGCCCGAUCAAUCAAAGGAUGGGGACAUGGCGGUAAUGAUUGCUGAGAGGAAUUGGUUCACACUCACCGCACAACCCGACCCAGCAGUAAUUGCAGUCAUCAAAGAGUUCUACGCCAACGUUUUAGAGCAUUUCCACUAUGGGGUGUAUGUGCGAGGCAAGACUGUUGAAUUUGGUGAAGAAGACAUUAACGGGUGCUACCAACUGCCGUUAGAGGGAUACAAUAACGAGUAUGCAAGUCUUGUGAGUCAAUGACCAGAUUAUGAAACCAUAAUAUGUGAGCUUUGUCAACCGGGCACCACAUGGACAUUGCAUGAACGAGGCAGCAUGACAUUCCCACUUUCGCACCUCAGCUUAUAUGGAAAGGCUUGGUAUGCAUUUAUAUGCACUAAGCUUAUGCCGUGCACACAUGUGAGCCAUGUCACCAAGGAGAGGGCUGUAUUGUUGUAUUCCAUUAUUCAAGGUUUAAAGAUUGAUGUCGGCCUCGUCAUUUAGCAAUCCAUUCUGCGAGAUGUAUGAGGAGGAACCACAGGAGGGUUACCCCAUCCAUCUCUCAUUUGCGUGUUAUGUGCAAAAUUUGGGGUCAAAUGGAAGCCGGAUGAGAUGAUUCAAACCCCCAUGCCGGUGUUAGACCAUAAUGUGAUGCCCCCAAAACAGGUAUACAUCACCCAUCUUGAGUCGCCAAAUACAUGGUACAAAAUACAAAUACAAACUUAAUUAUACAAACGUCGUGUAAUAUACGACAAAACAUAUGUUAUGAGUUUUAAUACAAAUAUUUUCAUCUAGACAAUAUCUACACUCAAUGGAGUCCUCAUUACAUUUAUUAUCACACUAUUUAACAGAAUAGUGAAGACUACUAAUGCUAUCAUCUGGACCGUCACUCCGUUCCCCGACUCGUCCCAGCUAUAUUCUCAUUUCCUGAAGAGAAUAGUGAAAGAAAGGGUGAGCUCAACUAGCCCAUUAAAAAAUAUUAUGACUAAGAUAAUGCAGAAUAAAUUAUCAUUAGCCUUCAACAAUGUUAAACUGAUAAAAUACAAUAGAUAUCAAGUUUAACUGCAGCGGAAUAAGCAAUCCAUUAGAAGAGUCAAGUAGAGCGUGAUAUCUACUAUCUUCUAUGUUUUAAAAUAUUUUCAUCAAUUCUUAUCGCUGAGACUCAGCUUAAUAAAUAAACCACAUCAUCGAAUCAUCCAUGCACUAUGAGCCAAGGAUAUUCAUUAAAUCAUCAAUGGUCAUGACUAUACCGAAUAAUCCCUGGUCAUAAUCAUACCAAAAAUUAUCCAUCAAUGCACUACAGGCCACUGAGGACUUUUACCACAUCAUUUAUAACAUUACAGGUCAUGAUUAUACCGAAUGAUCCCUGGUCAUAAUCAUACCAUGUCCAUCUAUNNNNNNNNNNNNNNNNNNNNNNNNNNNNNNNNNNNNNNNNNNNNNNNNNNNNNNNNNNNNNNNNNNNNNNNNNNNNNNNNNNNNNNNNNNNNNNNNNNNNNNNNNNNNNNNNNNNNNNNNNNNNNNNNAAUUGUUUACACUUUACCAAAUAAUGCAUUUAAUCAUUCAAAAAUGCCAUACUCAUAAGAUUUCAUCACCAAUGAUCAAAUCCCUCAUCAAAAAUCUGCAUAUACCCUAUAUAGGAUUCCCAAGCCAUAAAAUCCUAUUUUCCAAUUUUGUUACUUCACAUAACAUAUUUAAUUCAUUUACUCAUAACUAGUUUAUUUUCAUGAAAAAUACCAAAUCAGUCCCAAAAAUAUUUCUUUUCUGGGAUUUAGCAGAAUAUAGUCCCAUAUUGAACAUAUAUGUUUCUCGGAAUUUUUAAAAUUCAUUUACUAUUUUUCAUAUGGCCAAAACUGCCGAAUAUUUAGACAUUUAUCAUAAAUUGUACUUUUGUCUAAAAUUUUCGAAAUUUACAGGGUAUACUCUUGUUAUAUACAUGUACUCCCAAUAAAAAUUUCACUAAUUUUGGAGUAAACCACAAAGAGUUAUAAGGGUUUACUUUUAAAAUAGUCUUUUCCCAUAAAAUUCAUAACUCUUAAUCUGUACAUCCAAAAAUUGCCAUUUUUGGACACAAUCUAGAAAACUCAUCAAAUUAUCAUUUCAAAUUUUUUCAGAAUUUUUGAGGGUCAGAAAAAUUACAAAAUUACCCCUGGUAGAAACCCCUUUUGAAUGAAAAUACUAUUCAUAUGAAUACAAAGAAUCACUCACCAUGCAUGCGGUAAUCCACAUAGACAGGUUGUUCCAACAGAAUAAUAAAGAAUGGAAUAACAGAAGAAUUCACCAUGCAUGCGAUAGACCGCAUAGACAUAUUAUUCUCAAUAGAAUAAUAAAGAAUGGAACUAGGUCAUGCGUAAACAGCACAGACAGGAUAUUCUAACAGAAUAAUAAAGAAUGGAACUAGGUCAUGCGUAAACCGCACAGACAGGAUACUCCAACAGAAUAAUAAAGAAUGGAACCAGGUCAUGUGUAAACCGCACAUACAGGAUAUUCUAACAGAAUAAUAAAGAAUGGAAUAACAACAUAAUUCACCAGGCAUGCGAUAGACCGCACAGACAUGUUAUUCCAACAGAAUAAUAAAGAAUGGAAUAACAGAAGAAUUUCACCAUGUAUGCGGUACUUCGCAUAGACAGGUUAUUCCAACAUAAUAAUAAGGAAUGGAAUAACAAUAGCUCUCUUCAUGAAUACGAAAGAAAUAAUACCCCUUACCUUAGAAGAAACUAGAUAUUGGAAUAGUGAGGUAUCAAACUUCUCUUCUUCUUUAUCUCUAUAAUUUCUCUCUAUAAUAAUUGCUCUAAAACUUUAGUGAAUUGGUGAGAAAUGAAGAAAGAAUGAGCUUCUAUUUAUAGAAAAAUAUAGUUUCGAUAAUUGCACAUUUUGGGGCUCAAAAUAUUACAGUACAAUACCUCCAACUUUUCUUUCAUUUUUAAUUUAGUCCUGCAAGUAUUAUCAAACUUGCACCACCUCCCCUAAUAGUACAAGAAUGUGAUUCAAUAGUACACACAUGUGAACAAAUAGUUAUAUAAGCAUGUGAAUUAGUAGCAAUUAAUUGCACAUUUAUCCGAUUAAUUACCCGAUUUAUCAAUAUAACCCCCAGACAUCAAUUAUCAUCGGAAUAGAUGUCAAUUUCCACUAACACUAAUAAUUCCAACACAAUGGAACUAUUAAUUUCAUCUUUAAUCAACACGAACUUAUUCAUCAUUAAUAUUAUAACUCACAAUAUUUAACAACCAGGUCGUUCCCAGGAAAGAGGGGGCUUUUCGUUAAGGAUUUCUCCUUAUUGGCGCGCAAUUAGAUGACCAAACCUCUCCUUGACAGAACUUCUAGACAUUAUAAAUAUUGUAAUUUAAUAAUAUGAAUAACUUUGUCAUCUCAAUUAUUGAUUUAAUAAUAUAUACAAUAUUAUGUUGAUGAUACUGUGACAAUAAUCGAAUCAAUAAUAUGAGAGAUAUGAUGCAGAAAUUACUGUAGCAAUAAUUGAGUAUAACUGAGUGACUUCUUACGUAUACCGUGUGCUACUAUGCAACCACGCGUAUUACUGUACUUUUACUACCGGGUAGUUCAACAAUUUUAACGGCAACACUUUCACUGUUAUUGUUAUAAAAUGAUAAUUCUGUCAUUUUCUAACUACGACAAUACUUCUGUUGUGGGGUCCACCAAUGAUUGUGCCGUUGUACCGAUAUUCUCCGACAAAAAGAAUAUUCUCCGACUAAACGAAUAUUUUAUAAUAACUUGCAUACUUUACAAAAUUUAUAAAUAUUACCCACAACUAUAACAUUAUAUCAAAUCCACACCAUAAUAUUCAAAAAAAAAUAUUUUAAGAAAUUUAAAUCUUUAUUCAUAAAAUUUGGGGUCUCACACAUAAGCUGAUCAGUAGGUAUAGAGUAUGGAUUGGUGGGGAGAACCACCCUAGGGGAUUGGGUUUUAUAAUUUCCCAAGUUGAAACUCCACAAGCUUCACAACCUUCGGCUCCACCCACAUAUGGUCCUUCCUCUGCAGCUCACCGUGGUGUUGUUCCUGAGGCCGUCCAGCGGGAAAUUGAUGGUUGGUUCUACAAUCUCGAAUCCUAGAAUGUCCGCCUGUCUGAACGUCAAGAUGUGAUAUAUAAAUUUUUAGUCGACCAAUUCGCCGCCCAGAAUGCUAUGAACGCUCAAUUGUACCCGGGCGUGAAUCUUAGCCAAUUCCCUACUGCUCCAGUUCUGCCUGUGUUCCCCCCUUCUGAUCAAGAGAUGAGUGAAGAUGAUGAUGCUGCACCCGAGGAAUAAGCUCGUCAGGGAAGUCCUCUAUUCUAGCUAUACUGUUAUAUUUUUCGUAUAAGGACAUUGCUUGUUAUAAGUUUGGGGGUAGUUUAAUUUUUAUUUGCAUUAGUAGAUGUCAUGUUUGUGGAUAGUAUGUUUUUAAUUUUUUUUUGUUAUGUGUUGCAUUUAGGAUUUCAUAAAAUUCCAGCUAUUUAAUAGUUUUAGUAUAUUCGGGGCCAAUGAUGAAAUUAAAAUUGCAUGAACAAGUUUAGUAAGGAUUGUUAAGAUGGUGAUGUGAUUUUCUUGAUAUAAUUUAAAUCUUUAUCUGUUCGAAACUGAUUUUAUCAUGAUAGCACUUGUUAAGAAACGACCAUGUUAGCUGAGAAAGUUUAAAUGGAUAGAUAAUAGAGUUCUAAAUGAUAAAUGCUAGUGGAAUGAAAGAAAAAUAUGAAUAGCUAGUGAUGGCUGAAUCUAGACAUAAAUUCAAGUUUGGGGGAAAAAUAUUUGGAGUAUAUAAGCUAUAAAAAAAAUGAAUAAACACCGUGGCAUGCUUGUCUAGUUUUGUGGCCUUUGUUACUUGAGUAAGUAAGCCUGAGGGGAUUGUCUUUACACCUAGUGCCCUAAGGUCUUAAUGGCUUGGGAGUCGUUGGCCGAAAGCUCGUUAAGGUAGCAUUGAAAAGCCUAAGGGAAUAGGACAUUGCACAACCAUGAAAAAAAAAUGAAUAACGGGAAAAAGUGCAAAAAGCCCCCGUUAAAAUAAAAUAUAUAUAUAUAUAUAUAUAUAUAGAGAGAGAGAGAGAGAGCAUAAGUAUUCCAUUUUGACCCUUGGACUUUGGUAAUUGUUUGAUUUUAGCCAAAUCUAGUUUAUUUGAGGAGUUCUAGAGUUUGCACUGUAUGAUGCCUUCUAAGAAAUCUAUUAUGUUUCAUAUUUUGCUUUUCAUCGAUUAACAUGGUUGUUGAACACACGCACGAUAUUAGUAAUAACAGAUUUAGAUUUGUUGAUUGUUGAGAAAUUAUUGAGCUGUCUUGAUAUGAGUUACUAGCGUGUUAUUGUGAUUUUUCUGAGGCCUAAUGAAUAUAUGAUGUGCUAUUCGAUUGCUGGAAUUACAAACAUGUCGAUAGUUUUAGGUUCAUUUGCAUUGUUUGUUUAGUUUUUCGUGUUGUCUUGUGUUUUGUUGCUUGAGGACAAGCAACGAUUUAAGUUUGGGAUAUUUGAUGAUUGGGUAAUAUACCCAUGAAUUGGAUAUACGUGGGCUUAAAUUGUUAUUUUCUCGAGUAUUUUAGAAGCAUUUUUACAGUGUUUAGUUGUUAUUUUGCUGAUUCGGGAGCUGUAGGGGCAAUUUGGGGAUUUGAGCUGUUGAAUGGCAAUUUGGUAAAUAACUCAAAGAGUAGUGCCGGGGCGCUAUGGCUAGUACUAUUCUCAGCGCCGGGGCGCUGAAGGCCGGAUUUAGUUGACCAGGUGCACGCGUGGACCAAUGUUUUUGACUUGCAUAUUUGGGAGCUAAUUGAGAGGUUGAUUGGGAAAAUGAUUGUGGUUAGAUGAGACGAGUAUAUAUAGGCUUCGUUGCUGAAAUAAAAGGAUUAUCAACCAUAAUUGAAGGCUAGCAAGGGAUUACUUGAAGAUUGAAGGAUUUACUUUAGAGUUUCUUCUUUUCCUUAUUUUCAAUUUGUGUAAUUCCUUAAGGAUGUUUUUCAAGAGAUUGUUGGUUUUAAUUUCUAUUAUGAACUAAUUCUUUUAUUAAGACUACAAUUGAACCUUUUAUGUCUAUAAAUUAAUUAUU